CAGUAGCCACGGUAAUACGGAGGGUGCAAGCGUUAAUCGGAAUUACUGGGCGUAAAGCGCACGCAGGCGGUCUGACAAGUCAGAUGUGAAAUCCCCGGGCUUAACCUGGGAACUGCAUUUGAAACUGUCAGGCUGGAGUCUUGUAGAGGGGGGUGGAAUUCCAGGUGUAGCGGUGAAAUGCGUAGAGAUCUGGAGGAAUACCGGUGGCGAAGGCGGCCCCCUGGACAAAGACUGACGCUCAGGUGCGAAAGCGUGGGGAGCAAACAGGAUUAGAUACCCCAGUAGUCCUGUCUCUUAUACA
rnacentral:rRNA from 1 species